ensembl:misc_RNA Y_RNA Y RNA
GACUGGUCUGAAGGUAGUGAGUUAUCUCAAUUGACUGUUAGUUAUAGAUUGAACUCCUUGUUCAACUCUUUCCUCCCUUCUCGUUACUGCACUUGACCAGUCUUAA